rnacentral:tRNA from 1 species
GCCUUCGUGGUGUAGUGGUCAGCACACAUGACGCGUAACCGAGAGGUCCGUGGUUCGAUUCCCGGCGAAGGCG